CUCGAUGCUGUUGUCUUUUGGCCGACUACAGAAGCAGAUGUCUCUUGAACUCGUGAUUUACUUAGGCAUGUACAAUUAGGCGAGAAAUUUAGCAAAUUCCAUUCCAUUCUCCAUUCUUUUUAAGAAAAGAAAUCUAUCAGAGCUUGAGAAGGAGACAUUAUAUUGAUCGUAACUGCUGGAAGUUCAAUCAAAACCAUACACAAGAUGAUGGGUUCCAAAAUAAACUUUUUAUUCAUACUUGUCGUCUUUAACAUAUUUAGCAUGGGAUACCUAUCUAGUCCAAACUCAUCUUCGCCUCUUUCUUUGCGACCUAAAUUGUGUGAUCUUGAGUAUGACCAUGGUCCUUGCUACACGAACAAAAUGGGAGCGUUAUUAAAAUCUCAGUGGAGAUUUUAUUUUUCGCCAUCAUCGAACGAGUGUAAUCGUUUCAGGUACGAAGGCUGCGGAGGAAAUCAAAAUAAUUU